GACGAACGCUGGCGGCGUGCUUAACACAUGCAAGUCGAACGCUGAAGCUCAGCUUUUGUUGGGUGGAUGAGUGGCGAACGGGUGAGUAACACGUGAGUAACCUGCCCCCUUCUUUGGGAUAACGCCCGGAAACGGGUGCUAAUACUGGAUAUUCACUGGUCUUCGCAUGGGGGUUGGUGGAAAGGGUUUUUCUGGUGGGGGAUGGGCUCGCGGCCUAUCAGCUUGUUGGUGGGGUGAUGGCCUACCAAGGCUUUGACGGGUAGCCGGCCUGAGAGGGUGACCGGUCACAUUGGGACUGAGAUACGGCCCAGACUCCUACGGGAGGCAGCAGUGGGGAAGAUUGCACAAUGGGCGCAAGCCUGAUGCAGCGACGCCGCGUGAGGGAUGGAGGCCUUCGGGUUGUGAACCUCUUUCGCUCAUGGUCAAGCCGCAACAAUGGUUGUGGUGAGGGUAGUGGGUAAAGAAGCGCCGGCUAACUACGU
rnacentral:rRNA from 1 species